GAAGGACACAGAUGACUGGAAAAACAGACAUUUUUUUCGGCCUUCACGUACAGGUCAUGCUCCAGCAGUCUAACAAGCACUCUGUGCACCAAUGAGACAUGCUCAGCGCGGGUAGUCGUGUAUAUCAAGAUGUCAUCGAUAUACACCACCACGCCCUCGCAUAACAUGUCCCUGAACACAUCGUUGAUGAAGGAUUGAAAGACUGAUGGGGCAUUAAUCAAACCGUACGGCAUCACUAAAUACUCAUAGUGGCCGGAGGUGGUGCUAAAGGCUGUCUUCCACUUGUCCCCCUCCCGGAUACGCACCUCCUGAGGUCUAAUUUGGUAAAAAAGCGGGCCCCGUGCAUCUUCUCCACCUCCGUAGAGAUCAGAGGAAGAGGGUAGCGGAACGGGAUGGUGAUCUUGUUCAGUGCCCUGUAUUCGAUGCACGGGAGCAAACCACCCUUCUUCUUUUUCACAAAAAAGAAACUUGAGGAGACCAGUGACUUGGAGGACCUAAUGUACCCCUGUUCCAGCGCCUCCUCAACGUACAAGGCCAUUGCCGCCGUUUCGGUAUGGGACAGUGGAUACACUCGACCCUUAGGGAGCGCGGCUCCGUCAAUGAGGUUUACCGCGCAAUCCCCAGCCUGUGUGGUGGUAAUACAGUGGCCUUAUCCUUGGAAAAAAACGCGGCAAAGUCCCUGUAUUCUGGGGGAAUUGGCAUGGCCAGAGCACUGUCUGGAGCCAAUGGAAACACCCAAACACCUACCUUGACACUUCCGCGACCACCCCGAAAGACCCUGACUAGACCAAGAAAUGACGGGGUCAUGGAGAGACAACCAGGGGAAACCCAACACCACAGGGAACAUGGGAGAGUCGAUGACGUGGAAGGAGAGGGUUUCACUAUGCCGGCCGCCGGUGACCAUGAGGAGAGGGAUAGUGCAUUGGGUGACGAAAUCCAACCCUAGUGGCCGGUUGUCCAAAGCUUUCACAGGUAGGGGGGUGGUAAGGACCUGAAGGAGAAUGUGUGAGCAUAGAGCGAAGGACCCAGCCACGCCCGAGUCUACCAGCGCCGUACACUGGAUGGGAUUUCAAUAUCUUCACGACAAUGGUGGUUGCUUUUUCAACUCUCUCCAGCUGACUGAACUGUCGGAAUCAUAGAGGAGUCCUGAAUCACUAAAUGAAGGGGUACCUCAAACCUGUGGUCCAGAUCAUUCCAGGGCCAAACCAAGCCCAGACCAAUGAGAAACUGCCUUUGGUUCCGAGUAAGAGUGUUGGACACUGAUGAUUCCAGAUUUACCACAGCCAAGGAGAAGUGGGUGACAGACUAUGCCACAUACAAGAGAGUCCAAGGCUAGGCCAUUGUCAUCAGCCAGGACCUGAACUCUAUAAAGGACAGGUAACCAUCUGGACUGACUCAUAGGAACAGGGACAAUUGACUUUGGGACUUUGGGGUCAUAGAGAGGUACAGCACGUACAGUAGUGGAAACACAUCAAAUGUGGGACACUAGAAUGGCUGACAACAUCACAAGAGGGAAGCAGUAACAUCAAUAAGGCUUUAAAUCACUACAGUUUUCACAUGUAACAAGUAGGAAGGUUGGAUGAAUGGAGAGGACCACGCAACACAGCAGAGACUCCAAGAUCCUCCACUGCCCCAGCCAGGAGCCAGUUGCCAGAUCAGAGAGCAGAGGGGAGUUGGACUUUAAUUUCUUCAUAAUUUUUUAUUUUGUAUUUUUUAUUGGGGUCUUAGCAAUUCACUGGAGAUAUUUGUUCAUUAUUAUUAUUCUUUUAGCAAGUUUUGGUCUUUUGUAUUUCGACCAUCCGAGGCCAUGGUCCUCAGUCGGGAAAAGGGUGGCUUGCCCACUCUCAGGUUGGUGGAGAG